rnacentral:rRNA from 1 species
UACGUAGGGGGCAAGCGUUAUCCGGAUUUACUGGGCGUAAAGGGCGCGUAGGCGGGCCGUCAAGUCGAGGGUGAAAUCCCCCAGCUCAACUGGGGAAGUGCCUCCGAUACUGGCGGCCUCGAGGGGGAUAGGGGCAUGCGGAACUUCCGGUGGAGCGGUGAAAUGCGUAGAGAUCGGAAGGAACGCCCGUGGCGAAAGCGAGGUCCUGGACUCUUACUGACGUUGAGGCGCGAAAGCCAGGGGAGCGAACGGG